CAGUCAUUACAUUCUAUUAAUUUCUUCUACUCCUCUCAAUUCUUCGCACUCUCAAGGUGAGGUCUCAGUCUUGGUAUGCUUUUUCUAAGGAUGACAAGAAUGGUUUGCUUAAUGACGGAUGGAGAAGCAUGGAAAAAGAAGGAUGAUAAUAACAUAUGAUAAGGCUACAAUUUAAGGAGGGAGUCUUUAAAGAGCAUCAGGGACAUAUAGAAGUGAUCAUAUAUUCUGCUGAUACUGAUACUGAAUGGAGUAACCAAUUUGCAAGCAACUAUUUUCCAAGAUUGAUGACAUAUCAUCAUGCAUCAAAGGAUUUCAACAACUCUUGGCUUUUAAUUCUUUAGUUUUGUUAUGUUUUUGCAGUAAACGAAAAAAAUAAUUCUACUGCAGAA